CACUCUCAGUGAAUAAAUUCUGUCCAAAAAAUAGACUGUAUAGAAGCAUUGGUAAUACAUGGCAACACAUGGCAAAACUCCUCUCAGGCCCUUCCCUCCCUCUACUGUAACUAAGUGCCAGCAGGCUGGUGAGAGAAAUCUUUGAUCUCCUCACCAGCCCGAGAGGGCGUACAGCAAGGCUGGCUCUGCAUGGGCAUGUAGAGGAGAUGAAAGGAUCUCCCUUGCUGGCCUUAGUCCACAGCCAUCGAGGCCCACGGGGCGUUUUCUGCAGAACCCACAAUCGCCCACCUGAAAUUCCAAAACGCCCACUAGUGGGCGGUAGGGACCAG